UACGUAGGGUGCAAGCGUUACUCGGAAUUACUGGGCGUAAAGCGUGCGUAGGUGGUUUGUUAAGUCUGUUGUGAAAGCCCCGGGCUCAACCUGGGAAUGGCAAUGGAUACUGGCAGGCUAGAGUGCGGUAGAGGGUAGUGGAAUUCCCGGUGUAGCGGUGAAAUGCGUAGAGAUCGGGAGGAACACCAAUUGCGAAGGCAGCUUACUACAGGAAUAUUGACACUGAUGCACGAAAGCGUGGGGAUCAAACAGG
rnacentral:rRNA from 1 species